rnacentral:tRNA from 1 species
ACCUGGCUGGCUCAGUUGGUAGAGCAUGUGACUCUUGAUCUCAUAGUUGUGAGAUCGAGCCCCACGUUGGGCA